CAAAUGAAUUGACGGGGCCCGCACAAGCGGUGGAGCAUGUGGUUAAUUCGACGCAACGCGAAGAACUUACCAGGGCUUGACAUCCCCUGACCGCGUAUGAAAGUACGUUUUCACCCUCGGGUGACAGGGAGACAGGUGGUGCAUGGUUGUCGUCAGCUCGUGUCGUGAGAUGUUGGGUUAAGUCCCGCAACGAGCGCAACCCCUACGUUUAGUUGCUAACGCGUGAAGGCGAGCACUCUAGACGAACUGCCGUUGACAAAACGGAGGAAGGUGGGGAUGACGUCAAAUCAUCAUGCCCCUUAUGUUCUGGGCUACACACGUGCUACAAUGGCCGGUACAGACGGACGCAAAGCCGCGAGGUGGAGCAAAUCCUAAAAAGCCGGUCUCAGUUCGGAUUGCAGGCUGCAAUUCGCCUGCAUGAAGUCGGAAUCGCUAGUAAUCGCAGGUCAGCAUACUGCGGUCGAAUACGUUCCCGGGCCUU
rnacentral:rRNA from 1 species